ACGAACGCUGGCGGCAUGCCUAACACAUGCAAGUCGAACGAGAUCCUUCGGGGUCUAGUGGCGCACGGGUGCGUAACGCGUGGGAAUCUGCCCUUGGGUUCGGAAUAACAGUUAGAAAUGACUGCUAAUACCGGAUGAUGUCUUCGGACCAAAGAUUUAUCGCCCAAGGAUGAGCCCGCGUAGGAUUAGGUAGUUGGUGGGGUAAAGGCCUACCAAGCCGACGAUCCUUGGCUGGUCUGAGAGGAUGAUCAGCCACACUGGGACUGAGACACGGCCCAGACUCCUACGGGAGGCAGCAGUGGGGAAUAUUGGACAAUGGGCGAAAGCCUGAUCCAGCAAUGCCGCGUGAGUGAUGAAGGCCUUAGGGUCGUAAAGCUCUUUUACCCGGGAUGAUAAUGACAGUACCGGGAGAAGAAGCUCCGGCUAACUCCGU
rnacentral:rRNA from 1 species